UAACGCACAACACUAAGCCAU
rnacentral:miRNA from 1 species